rnacentral:rRNA from 1 species
UACAGAGGUCUCAAGCGUUGUUCGGAUUCAUUGGGCGUAAAGGGUGCGUAGGUGGCGCUGUAAGUCGGGUGUGAAAUUUCGGAGCUUAACUCCGAAACUGCACUCGAUACUGCGGUGCUUGAGGACUGGAGAGGAGACUGGAAUUCAUGGUGUAGCAGUGAAAUGCGUAGAGAUCAUGAGGAAGACCAGUGGCGAAGGCGGGUCUCUGGACAGUUCCUGACACUGAGGCACGAAGGCCAGGGGAGCGAACGGG